CGACUAAGCGUACACGGUGGAUGCCCUGGCAGUCAGAGGCGAUGAAGGACGUGCUAAUCUGCGAAAAGCGUCGGUAAGGUGAUAUGAACCGUUAUAGCCGGCGAUGUCCGAAUGGGGAAACCCAGUGUGAUUCGUCACACUAUCGUUAACUGAAUACAUAGGUUAACGAGGCGAACCGGGGGAACUGAAACAUCUAAGUACCCCGAGGAAAAGAAAUCAACCGAGAUUCCCCCAGUAGCGGCGAGCGAACGGGGAGCAGCCCAG
rnacentral:rRNA from 1 species